rnacentral:rRNA from 1 species
UUAGAAUGUUUAAAGCGGCAGCUCCAUUUUCUGCCACCGAAUACAUUAGCAUGGGAUAAUGGAAUAGGACCCUGUCCUCCUAUUUUCAGUUGGUUUGCCGCGAGGACCAGGGUAAUGAUUAAUAGGGAUAGUUGGGGGCAUUAAUAUUUAAUUGUCAGAGGUGAAAUUCUUGGAUUUAUGAAAGAUUAACUUCUGCGAAAGCAUCUGCCAAGGAUGUUUUCAUUAAUCAAGAACGAAAGUUAGGGGAUCGAAGACGAUCAGAUACCGUCGUAGUCUUAACCAUAAACGAUGCCGACCAGCGAUUAGGAGACGUUGAAUACAAAACACCACCAUGCGCAUUGCGGUCGUCUUUGGUGUCGCUCACAAGUUCGGCACCGGGGCGGCUUGCCGUCAUGCAUCCGUUGA